GACGAGCCACACAAACGUUAUUCGGAAUUACUGGGCUUAAAGGGUGCGUAGGCGGCGCGGAAAGUUGGGUGUGAAAUCCCUCGGCUCAACCGAGGAAUUGCGCUCAAAACUACCGUGCUCGAGGGAGAUAGAGGAAUGCGGAACUUAGGGUGGAGCGGUGAAAUGCGUUGAUAUCCUAGGGAACACCGGUGGCGAAAGCGGCAUUCUGGAUCUCAUCUGACGCUGAUGCACGGAAAGCUAGGGUAGCAAACGGG
rnacentral:rRNA from 1 species